UACAGAGGGUGCAAGCGUUAAUCGGAGUUACUGGGCGUAAAGGGCGCGUAGGCGGUUUUUUUAGUUGGAUGUGAAAGCCCUGGGCUUAACCUAGGAACUGCAUUCAAUACUGGAAGACUAGAGUAUUGUAGAGGGUAGUGGAAUUUCCGGUGUAGCGGUGAAAUGCGUAGAGAUCGGAAGGAACACCAGUGGCGAAGGCGGCUACCUGGACAAAUACUGACGCUGAGGCGCGAAAGCGUGGGGAGCAAACAGG
rnacentral:rRNA from 1 species